AUUGAACGCUGGCGGCAGGCCUAACACAUGCAAGUCGAACGAGUCGCGCUCGGGUGUCUCAUGUCUGGGACUCUGCCUGAUGGAGGGGGAUACCUACUGGAAACGGUCGCUAAUACCGCCUUCCUUCCACUGUCCCCCGAGUGGUCUAGCUAGUUGGUGGGGUAACGGCUCACCAAGGCGACGAUCCCUCGCUGGUCGGAGAGGAUGACCAGCCACACUGGAACUGAGACACGGUCCAAACUCCUACGGGAGGCAGCAGUAGGGAAUAUUGCACAAUGGGCGCAAGCCUGAUGCAGCCAGUCCGCGUGGAUGAAGAAGGCCUUCGGGUUGUAAAGUACUUUCAGCGGAGAGGCGUUAACCGAAGAAGAAGCACCGGCUAACUCCGUGCCAGCCGCCGCGGUAAUAC
rnacentral:rRNA from 1 species